AGCGAACGCUGGCGGCAUGCCUAACACAUGCAAGUCGAACGAGACCUUCGGGUCUAGUGGCGCACGGGUGCGUAACGCGUGGGAACUUGCCCUUAGGUCCGGAAUAACUCCCCGAAAGGGGUGCUAAUACCGGAUAUUGUCUUCGGACCAAAGAUUUAUCGCCUUUGGAUGGGCCCGCGUUGGAUUAGCUAGUUGGUAGGGUAAAAGCCUACCAAGGCGACGAUCCAUAGCUGGUCUGAGAGGAUGAUCAGCCACACUGGGACUGAGACACGGCCCAGACUCCUACGGGAGGCAGCAGUGGGGAAUAUUGGACAAUGGGCGAAAGCCUGAUCCAGCAAUGCCGCGUGAGUGAUGAAGGCCUUAGGGUUGUAAAGCUCUUUUACCCGGGAUGAUAAUGACAGUACCGGGAGAAUAAGCUCCGGCUAACUCCGUG
rnacentral:rRNA from 1 species